GUUUUUGUAUUUUAUAUUAUAACAAUAUAAAUUACUUAGAUGAUUUUUAUAAAAUACUAAAAAAAUAGAUAGUAAAUUAAUAUAAUAAAUAUUGAAUUAAAGAUAAUAAUAAAAAAAGAUAUAUAAAUGACAAUAUAUUAUCUAUACAAUAUCUAGAAAUUUGCCAUUGGUAUGAAAAACAGAUAGUCCUGUCCCAAACUGGAUGAAAUAAUGUACACUGGCCUGGUCGGGAUGCUCAAACAAUCUGAGCAAUGUUCAGAUUAUAUAGCAGCACAGUCACUGUGUUCACAAUAAUCAGUGAAAUCAACCUACAAACAGCUUGUCUCUUCAAAUAGCUGUCUCUGCAUAUUCAUUUGGGACAGGAGGAAGUAUUUUAACAUUGCCAUUUACGCCUUGUUUCUCAAAAAAAGAAAGAAAAAAAAACUGAUUAAAUACCAGAUGGGAGCAAAUCUUACAGUCUGUAAAGUGACAGUCCUGGGAUCAGGCUUCAGUACCACAGACAGUUCCUCUUUCAGCCAUGCCCAUCAAUCCUGUCCUACUCCAGUGGCCCUGACAGUCGGCCUUCAUGUUACUUAAUUAAAGCACGGCUGAUUGGUGUUAAUUACAACAUGGCUUCUACGCUUACUGGCCCUCAGAUCACCUUUUUGCACUGCGGAACCAUCACAGUUGUUUCUUGCAAUGAAGAGUCUUGUGAGGACAAGGCUGGGGGCAGCAGACAAGUGACUAACUCUGUGACUUUCAAGUACCAUUAGACCUUCCCAACAGGCACAGGGUUCAGGGAACCCGAGCUCACUCGAUCACACUUUAGUGCUAAGAUUAAUUGGGACGAAUAGUCCUGCCUAAGGGAAAAGCCAGUGCCUGAGGGAAUCCCAUAGUUUCAGCCCUCAUAAUGAGUGAGCAUAUGCUUAGGAAAGGAGCACCAUGGUGACGCUUGUCCAAAGGAAUCAAUUCAGAGGGAAGAACUGGCCGCCCGCUGGACAUCGGAGCAGACCCACGGCAUCUUCAUUCAUGUGCAGGAGAGGAGAAGCAGAAAGUGCAUCUCUCAUGUGCUCCAGAGCCGAGGACGCUUAUGCAAUCGAAGCAGCAGAAGCAAGAAAAAUCCAGACGCUCCGUCUCUCAGAAGCACCCCAACCAGACGGCUCAUCAACCGGAUAGAACUGGUUCUGAAAAUAUGUGUUACACAAGCCCGUUGUUAUGCAUCUGUGAGGAUGCAGCAAGCAAAAUGGGUUAAACUAUUUUAACAGCCGGGGGGGAUGACAACUUGACUGAUGGAGCUGAUUUUCCUUUCUCAAGUGAAAGUGGAAAAUAAAAUGAUCAAUUGAUUGUCAUUGAUUGAGCAUUGAUUGUCCAACUGAAGAAUUUAUGUUUAUGAAUUUUUAUGAAUCUGUCAUUGGAACAUCAUUUACAUUAUAGCUGUAUUUCUAGUAAUGUCUAGCAAUCAUUGCAAAUUAAAAGCCUAACUUGGCAAAAGCAAAUAAAGUGAAGCAAAAAAAAACUAUUUAAAUGAAAGUCACAAAUGUUUCAAUAAUAAAAGGUACAUCUGAACAACUAGCUGACCAAACCAGAUCAAAGAAAACAAAUCAUUAUUAUUGAUCCCUGAAGAUAAUAUGAGAGAGGACUGUACAGGCAAUGAAAACACUGCAAAUCCUAACCACCUUCAAGGUCCUUCAAAAACAUUACAUGAGCUUUCACUGCUUAUUUUCAGCAUAAAAAAUCAAACCAACACUCUUUGCUCACAUCACAUUUGAUUCAAGCGCAGCUAAUCAAUAUUCAUCAGCGGUCUCCGUGUGGUCACUGUGCUGCAGGACCAUUUUAAAUCCAACAAUAGCCGCCUGUGCUGGAUUACACAACACUGAGCCGCCACCAAUCCCCCUGCUCCUCUUCCUCUCAGCUCCGAGUGUGAACUAAAGCCUGCAGUCCUCGAGAGCAAUGAGCAACAGCACCAACCGCAAAGCCAUUUUUUAAAUGCUAAUUUUCUGGUGUUACAUAACACGGCCCUGUGAGCGGCUCCUCUCAAUAAAAGAGCAACAAGACAUGAAUACAUCAUCGAUACAAACAUAUGAAGCUCAUUUUCAAACUUCAGAGAUGUGAUUAACUAAUCUUUCACUGAUUGUAAUAAAAAAAUAAAAAACAAACAAACAGUAGAACCAAUUUUGGUUUGUGCUUGUGAAAUCAUCACCAUAAUCCCGAUCAGAUAUUUAGCACCAAAUGAACUUUGUUCGUUGGCUAUAGUGAUAACAUUGAGCUCACUAAAGACACUGAGCUGUCAGAGGAGGAUAUGAGCAUGGUUCGUAGAGCAUAAUGCUCAUCUCUAACCCUGAUAAAGCCUAUUGGUAAACCUCAUCACACCAAAUCCCAUCUGCAUGAUUUAAACAGCCUAUUACGACAUGCAGAAGUCAUUCUGUGUUACAUUUUCUCAUAUGAAUAUGAGUGGAUUCAAACCACACGUGCUUUUCCUAUCUAUUUCAUUAACAACAUGAUAAUCUAGAUGAAUUAGGAACUCUACACUGAAUAUGAAAGUGCAAUAAAAAGAUGACUAAUAUAAGGAGUCAGUCAAAAUCUGAGAGGUUAUGUAGCUGAAAUAGGCAUUAAGGGUCUUUAAUCAGUUGGCGAAGCAAUGGUACAAGAUAAAAAGGUACAUUCAGGAGGACUGAAGAGGUAAAACCUCUCCAAACUGAUAAAUACUGCAAGACAGUUGCCAAGGGAACCAGCUGAGGAAAACAAUUGUAAUACUGGCUGACUUUCUUGUCUGGAUGACAGAUCAACUUCUGUAGAGAAAACUGUGGUGCUAUUAAAAUAAUAAAUCCUAGUUAAAAAGCAAAAGGCCAUGGUUUAUGCACGCCUAUAUAUACACCUCAAUAAUAAGAAAUCCACAGAUGAUUCAUUUAAAACAUGACAUAGACAAUAUUGCAGGGUUAAUCACAAAUGCAUCUAGAAAAUUGGACAAAUAUAUGGGAUUCUCACCAUCAGAUGGGUAGAUGCCAUGAAUAACAGCCAAACUAGUGUGCCAGAAGUAAAUAUUAUUCACUGUCUUUGUCUGUACAUGUUCACUGUGCCUUCUAAUAACAUUAAGCAUUCCUGCAAACCUGAUCAACAAUUCGUAAAUAAUGUUUUUGUGUAAAAGCUAUCUUUAUUGUAAAGACAGAAAAAGCAGUAAAAAUACACACUGUAUUUAUAAAUUAUUUUAUUUCUGAUUUUUGUCAUCAGAUAUUUUUUAUACCAUUUUAAAAGUAAAAAUCAGAUUUUCACAGAAUUCUGGCAACCACAGCUACCAUUUUUUUAUAUAUACAUUUAUAUUUUUUUCACAGGAUAAAUCACCCUUUAGCAGUAUUCAAUGUGCAUUCAAGGACAUUAUUGCAGGAGAGAGAGCAAACAAGUGUAAAAUUAUGUUUAACAUGAUGACAGAGCAUAUAUCAAGCGCAUCUGAACAUGUAAACAUCAUUUCACAUGGAUGUUUAGGAAACAACUAAAAAGGAGAAAUUCAACAGUAGUGUAGAAUAUACCGUUUGUUUGUACAGUAUAAAAACCAUUACGCGUAUGGGAGAGUGUGUAGUGUAAUAAAGUAUAAAUCUAACAGCAUUUUAUGAAGUUUAUGCUUAAAACAAGAAAAAUAGAAAAAGAAAUGAAACCAAGGUUUAUUAUCUUAUGCAAUUUUAUUUCUAGAGAAAAUCAAUCUUUUUUAAAAUUGCAAAAAAAUGCAGUUAUUUACCCACUCGCUAAUGCCUAAGAAAGAAAUAAACAGAACAAGAUAAAACAAAACAAAGCUUCAAUACAUUAUGAGAAGCAAUAACUUAAUGCAUUUAAAUGACAUCUGGCUAAUGUUGUUUUUUCCUCAGUGUCAAUCUCAGAGGAAAGGAAACACACGAAAAACUUGCAGCACACAAAGCAGCUGGUGCAACUGAGACGCAACAGUAUCCGGUUCCGACUGGAUCUGACCUGUCAAACGGAUCCGAGAGCGAGACGCACGGAGCGAAUCGAGUCGCUGCAGCAGGCCAGUUCUACUGUCUCCUAACACUGCAAUGUUUCAUAAGAAACGCGUCCAUUACGAAAGACGCUAGCUACUGGAUUAAUGCACACCGAAGCGUUCGUGCAGCGAUGCCUCUAUAUGUCCAAUGCACAAUAAACUUAUGAUUAUAAAUGACUGAAUCAAAUCGCAUGCUUAUGCUCUGUGCUCUGUGGAGAGAGGGCUGCUGCAUCUCUUUCGCUACACUGUAAUGCUGUAAUGAUACUUAAAGACAUUUUAAGACUCACCUUUGUGGCUUUUUGCUGUACAGGAGGUCAAAUCUAGCAGGUUCUUGGCGGAAAGACGAAAAUUAAAGACAAGAGCGCAGGAGUGAGGAACGCAGGCAGACUUCAAAACAUCAUUUGAAGUCUGGCCUUUUCUCGAGAGGAGGGAUAUGCUGGGGGAUCCGCCGAGUCCUGCCAAUAGAGGGAGACUUGCAGCUCCCGGAAAUGUCAGAUGCCUUGCACCGAGCACAGCUGUGUGCUGUCAGCACUGCAUAUAUAUAUAUAAUGUAAUCACAGCUCCAGUCUAGUAGUGGGGGUUUUGAUUCGUCUCCGUGACUCGAAUCUUUUGAAUCAAGGACGCUGUUCGCCAGAAAGAUUCGUUCACUGGCGUCAUAAUAGACAGCUGCCUAGGGCGCAAAAUGACUGGGGGGCGCCGCAGAAGAAUUUUUUAUUUUUUUUUGGGUCGGAGGUGCGCCCUCUUGUGACCUUCGUGCGCUCCUACAUACACACACACACACACACACACACACACACACACACACACACACAUAUAUAUAUAUAUAUAUAUAUAUAUAGCAAAAUCAUUUUUGACAUUUAACAUAAUUUUAGUAUUGAUCGAUCAUCGAAAUUAUUUAAAUAAUGUUAGAAUAAAAUAAAAUUGACAUCAACGAAAAAUCCUAAGAUUUGACAACACUUUCUGUAUCAUGAUGUAAUUAUAAUACAUCAUCAUAACGUAUUAAUUAUGCAUGGGGCGCGCAGUUAAAAUAGUUUUGCCAUUUAUGUGCUCUUAAAGUAUCAUUUCUAAAAAAAAAUGAGUGAAAAAAAAGAAAAUUAUCAGGGGCACAAGGAAGCGACGCAAAGAAGAGGAGCAGAAAAAAAAAAUCAAUAUAAAGGUAAAAAUCACAAGUUAACGACUGUGUUUAUGCAGCCCGUGAUGUUUAUGUAGUAUUUUGAAAUAGCCUUAUAGAACAUCUUAACUGGCAACACUGACACUGUGGAACGUUUUUGCUUGAGUUAACUGCUCAUUUAAUUUUACUUUAUUUUAAUCUUCUGUAAUCAGUUACAUUAUUGCAUAAUUUCUGUUACAUUACUGCUUGCUUUUAAUUCACCAAAAAAUGUCUAAAUGUCUUUUGAAAAAGACCAUGACUAGGACUAUAAUUUAGCAUUCAUAAAAUGAAAUAAUUAGGUUUAGUCAUUUUCCACUGUAUGCACAAAAUUGAAAUGAAAGGUAUGGGUAUGUUAAUUAGACUAACUAGCUAGCUUGUUGCCUUUUUUUCUGUUAGACUAUUUUAGGCAUUUAAUUUAAUUCUUCUGCCACAAGGAUGCGCUGUUUGUACGUGUAUUUAGCUUUGAUUUGUAAGAAAAUCAUUGUAGUGUGGAUGAUACAGAAGAGCAUACGCAGCAUACGGUGAAAUAGAGAGACACAGAGGAGACCGUUGACAAAGGAAUUAUUGAAUAAAGUCGCUAUUUUUGUUUUCUUCGCUUACAAAAAGUGUUCCCGUCGCUUCAUAUAAUCCAGAUUGCACGUCUGAUGGCAGAUGGAGUAUUCUGACGACGAUUUUCAUACCUUUUAUGGACCUUGACAGUGUUAUUUACUUGGCAGUCUAUUGGGAAGUUCCUACGCCCCUGCUCUUGGGUGUCUUUUUAUUUUUGUUGAAACACAGUUUU
rnacentral:lncRNA from 12 species